AAACGAUACAGAGGUGCGAUGUGUUGGGUACCUAGCUUGUUAGAGGUUUUGGACGACCUAUGAGCUGGAGAAGGUACAUGUCGCCGAAAGACUAAUUAGGUCCAUAAUUACUCUUGGUGGUUGAAGGUACACGUCACCCACUGCCAUUUAAACGAAAAUGGAGAGCUGUCUUUAAU
rfam:Tenericutes bacterium GWD2_38_27 gwd2_scaffold_1308, whole genome shotgun sequence.